CAUGAAUCUACCUGACUACAGAGUUGAAGCCACCAAUUCUUGCCCUGCAUUUUGUGGUAGGCCAUAUGGUAUUGGUAUCUGACUAGUAGGAAAUACAAGCCUCUGGUCUGUGGAAAAGAAGAAGGUGUUAAAGGAGUUUAGAGAUUUUUCUAGAAGACACGCCUUGAGAGAGUUCACCAACACUGUACAAGGAUUAGGACCGGACAAGUGGAAAGUGAUGCCUUGGUUGGCAAGUGGCCCAAUGCUGGAAGUGAGAUGAACAAGCUCUUUCUGUAGAAUAAACCAUUAGGUUAACCUGAGACAGAGGAGAUGAGGCUUGGAACCUCUGCUCACCAGGUUGAUGAAAUCUUAUCUUGACACGAGAGGACCAGGAUCACAAUGACAAGUGAAGGGAAUAUGGCUGACAGCUGCUUACAACUCCUGUAUGUGGAAAAGUCACCUCCACUCAUAUUUUUUUUUGGCUAACACUAGGCACAUGGCCCCAGGACCAUCCUGUCUUUUGCCCAGAAGAACAGAAAUAUUCUGUGAAAUUCUCUAAAAUUCCCGUAGCAUCGCUUAAGUGAUGAUUAUGUGGCCAUUCCACUGACCUGAGAUUAGAGACAUGAAAACUUGGACGUGCUGGGUAGUAUUCCAAUGGGAGAAUCUGCCUGAGGAGGAAUCAAACGUGGGCGAAAGUAAAGCUGAGAGAAGGACAGAAAUAGAAUUCUGAUGACAUAUUGUUGGAGGUGCUGGAUCUAGUUGUGCCCGAAGCUACCCCUGAGCUUCGAA
rnacentral:lncRNA from 1 species